GAUGAACGCUAGCUACAGGCUUAACACAUGCAAGUCGAGGGGAAACGGCAUCGAAAGCUUGCUUUUGAUGGGCGUCGACCGGCGCACGGGUGAGUAACGCGUAUCCAACCUGCCCAUCACUUGGGAAUAACCUUGCGAAAGUAAGACUAAUGCCCAAUGACAUCCCACGAAGGCAUCCGAAUGGGAUUAAAGAUUUAUCGGUGAUGGAUGGGGAUGCGUCUGAUUAGCUUGUUGGCGGGGUGACGGCCCACCAAGGCAACGAUCAGUAGGGGUUCUGAGAGGAAGGUCCCCCACAUUGGAACUGAGACACGGUCCAAACUCCUACGGGGGGCAGCAGUGAGGAAUAUUGGUCAAUGGGCGAGAGCCUGAACCAGCCAAGUAGCGUGCAGGAUGACGGCCCUAUGGGUUGUAAACUGCUUUUAUAAGGGAAUAAAGUGGGUCACGUGUGACUUUUUGCAUGUACCUUAUGAAUAAGGACCGGCUAAUUCCGUG
rnacentral:rRNA from 1 species